CCUACGGGAGGCAGCAGUGAGGACUAUUGGUCAAUGGACGAGAGUCUGAACCAGCCAAGUAGCGUGAAGGAUGACUGCCCUAUGGGUUGUAAACUUCUUUUAUAUGGGACUAAAAUGUUCCACGUGUGGGAUUUUGUAUGUACCAUAUGAAUAAGGCUCGGCUAACUCCGUGCCAGCAGCCGCGGUAAUACGGAGGAUCCGAGCGUUAUCCGGAUUUAUUGGGUUUAAAGGGUGCGUAGGUGGAGUGUUAAGUCAGUUGUGAAAGUUUGCGGCUCAAACGUAAAAUUGCAGUUGAAACUGGCAGUCGUGAGUACAGUAGAGGUGGGAGGAAUUCGUGGUGUAGCGGUGAAAUGCUUAGAUAGCACGAAGAACUCCGAUUGCGAAGGCAGCUCACUGGACUGCAACUGACACUGAGGCUUGAAAGUGUGGGUAUCAAACAGGAUUAGAUACCCUUGUAGUC
rnacentral:rRNA from 1 species